UGUAGCUCAUCCUGCCCAUGUUGAAUAUGCAAAUUUGUUCCUUUCCUGCUUGGAGAAAGUCAUUGUGAUUGACUAUAAGCCUACCGUUGUUAAGCUUUGAUUGGAGAAGUAAAGCCUCGUUCACUGCUAGUGUUCUUAUAAAAAUAAACUUUGUUUUCUGUCUAAGCAAUUUCUGUAUACACUACGAUGCUCCUCCCCCGUCAUAUAUUGAGGGUUAUUCUCUCUUGUCUUGAUUUUGACAAUUCUAAAAACCUUAUUGAUAUAGGACUAUGUACUAUUGAAUCACUCCAAUGUUUAAAAAUCAAGAGUCAGUUACUUAUAGUUUUACCUAAAUAAGUUCAAAACGAUCAAUCUGGAUUGUUGGCUUGCAAUUAGGAAAUUGGGGUACAUCACUGCACGUUUAUAGAUAAUACAGAGGCAUAUAAGGGGGGAUCGGGGUUUAGAGAAGUGAAAUUUGUAUCUAAAGAAUAAAGUAUCCAAUCACAAUCACAAGUUUAUAUACGAUGAAUUUUGUUAACUUUUAUAAUAAUCAUUUUAAAAAAAUGCAAAUCCCCAAUAGGAAACAUGAGUUCUUGUGUAUGCCUAAGAGAGUGAGAAUAGGAGGAAACUAAUUUUGACUGUCAAUCUUAUUUUGAUGAUAGAUAUUAUAUUCCUUCUGUUUUAUUAUAAUUAUCAUGUAAGAGAAUUUUUUUUCUAAAAUAAUUAUCAUUUUAGUUUUUUAAUAUAACAUUAAUUAUUUUUUUACUUAUAUUUUUUAUAACAUUAAUAAUAGAUAAUAAAAUUUACAAAUGAAUUAGUGAUGAUAUAAGAGUUAAUGUUGUAAAAAUUAUCUCUUUCAUUUAAUUAUUUUUUUAAGGGUAAAACGAUUAUUAUCUUGGAAUAGAGGGAAUAUGUGAUAUUUUCUAACCCAAAAAUAAAAAAUAAAUAUUAAAUAAUUUAUAACAACUUAUCCACUUUACGCAACUAAUUGAGCUAAAACCUAUAUUAAUGAAUGUUAUAUUUAGAAUUAGUAUAAAUUUUAAAUGAGUUUUAGAAUACACAAAUUAAGUAAUGUUAUCAUCAAAUUUUAAAUGAGUUUUUUUUGUUAUACUCCAACAUUUUUUAAUUAUAUUUUUUUUGUCAAAUACUCUUUCCAUUUUGAUUAUAAUUUUUUGAAAUCAUUAUUGAUGUAAAAUUUAUGAAUAAAUACAUUAACAAUAUACGAUAAGUGUGUUAACUUUUAUAAAUAAAAAGUAGAUAUAGUAACAAAUGAAAAUAAAAUUGAUCGUAUGGUUUAGUCACAAAAUUUCAUACAUAAUAUUCACUUUUAUAAGAAUUGAGUAGUAUUUUAGUUGUGUAAUAUACAGAAUAAAUGUUUAUUUUAAAUAAUUAACAUUUAUAAAAAAAAUAUUUUUUAAUCUUAUACACUAGUUGUUAACGUGCAAAUAGAAUCUUUCAAUCUUAUAGACUAGUUUUAACGUGUUGGUUUUGGGAGGAUCAUGCAUAUUCAUUUAUAUUAUUCUAGACAUGAAAAUUCCGUGUUAAAUUUUAUAUGUAAGUGCUCGACCGUUCUCUGUUUCUGCUCGAGCUUUGGGUGAUUCUUUCUUUUUAAUUGGCAUCGAUAUUGUUUCUUACUUGGAACUAAUGCAUGACCAUAUUCGUAAAUCAAGAGAUACUAUCUUAUAAUGCCCAUUUGCGAACAUCAGGUACGCACUGUCAUACAUGUUCGUGAAGAAUUAAUUAAACCAUGUCAUGUUCAUAUAUACUCAGAAACUAGAAAAACAUUUGGGUGUUAACUUGCCUUGUGACUGGUGCCGCUAAUGGCGUGAGUCGGAUCUGAAUUUUCUGUUGUUCCUUUUUCAAUUAUUCUUGUGUGGUGUCCUUUAAAAAUCACACAAUUUUAAAAUUGAAUCACAAAAUUAAAUAUUAACAUAAUUACAUAGAUAUGGAUAACUGGUAAAAAGAUAACAGAAAAACUAAUUUCACCAAAUCCAGCCAAAUUUUACUGGUUGAUAAUUUAUUGCAUCAGUUGGAAGUCCAACCAAAUUUAAUGCAUUCAUUGAAAUUUUUUAACCAUUUAUAGUGCGGUCUGGUGUCAAUUUCUUUGAAAAAACAAAUAAGUUAUUGUUACUUGUUUCUUUUAUAAAUAGAAGUUGUGGGAUGGAGAUCGAAGAACAUCGUCAAAAACACAAAUCAAAACAAUUGUUUACUAUGAUGUGGCAUUAAUGUGGAGAUCAAUGAAUUGGAAAUAAAGAAUUUAAAAUAAAUAGCUUAAAUUGUAUCUAUUGAAAAUGCUCUAAGAUACACUUAACUUGCAAAAUUAUACAAGAUUAUAAUAAUUAUUAAAAUUUUGAAUAACUUCACAAUUGAAUAUGAUGUCUGCAAUUAUUCUCAUCUUAACUAAUUUUAAGUUACUUCGUAAGAUAUGAUAACUUCAUUGAGAUUAUCAAAAUUAAUAAAAAUAAAUUAUAAGUUAUUUUAUAUCUUUAAAUAAGUUCUUACACUUUUUUCAUAAUUAUUUAUAAAAAAUAUUAGAUAUGAUGAUAAUAAUGUUAACAGCAUGUGAGAUAUCAUUAGCUUGUCAGAUAUCGUUUGCAUAUGUCCGACGUAAGAACGUAUCAUCAUUAUCUUUAGGAAUUGAAAAAAAAAAUAGAUAAUUUAUAAUAAUCCACUCAUGCUCAAUCAAUCAACCGAUAUAUAACUCAUUGGUUAAUAAAUAGUAUGUUUAGAAUGAGUGUAAAUUUUAAAUGAGUUUUAGAAUGCAUGUUAUCACUAAAUUUUUAAUGAGUUUUUUUUGUUGUUAUACUCCAACAUUUUUUAAUUAAUUUUUUUUACCAAAUACUCUUUCCAAUAUUUAGAUUAUAGUUUUUUGAAAUCAUUAUUGAUGUAAAAUUUAUAAAUAAAUGAUACAUACAUUAACAUAAUUGUGUUAACUUUUAUAAAUAAAAAUAGAUACAUUAACAAUGAAAAUAAAAUUGAUCUCAUUGUUUAAUCACAAAAUUUUAUAUAUACUAUUCACUUUUAUAAGAAUUGGGUAGUAUUUUAGUUGUGUAAUAUACAAAUAAAUGUUUGUUUUAAAUAAUUAACAUUUAUAAUAAAUAUUUUUUUGAAUAUAUAAACUAUCAUAUUAUAUUAAAAUUUAUAAUAAAUAAUUUUAAUAUAUAAAUUAUAUUUUAGAUUUAUGAUAAAAUAUAUUGUGAUAUAAUGUUAUUUUUGGUUAUUGACUUUUUUAAAUAUAGUAGAAAUUAAUAACUAGAAAAAAAGUCUCAUACAAGAUGGGAAUUUAGAUUUAUAAUUUAGAAAUAGAUCACACCAAAAAAGUUUUUUAAAUGGUUUGGUGGAAAAAGCCAAAAAAAACUUUGAUAUUUUGAAUCAAUUUUCUAUUUUUCAUUUUGUUGAGAUGCCUAUAAUACACGGUGAGAAAGGAGAUGAGGUUGUUGUGAAGGAAGAUAUUGAGGAAGCAAAAGGAGUAGUGAAACACGUAGUCCUUGGAAAGUUCAAGGACGACAUUGCCCCUAUGCCAAUCUAGUCAAUCUCAUUCCACCUAUGAGGUCAUUCCAUUGGUACCUUAUUUUAUCUCUUUCUUUUCUUUCUCACACUUGCAAUGCAACUCAACAACCCACUUUGAUCAGGAAAAAGCUAAACCCGUUGACCACAAAAUUGAAUUUUUUAAUAUGUUCAUUGAAAUGGGUUGCCCAGGUUAGCUGAUGAAUAAGUACUAAUUACUGAUGAGCAGUGUGAGUGAAACAUUAAUUGGGUUGGUUUCCAAUUUAUUUAUGUCUACAUUUUGAUCCAAUGGAUAUUGUGUUUGUAGUCUUCAUAAAUGUUACGUAUAGUGGUCCAUUUUUUCUUAGAUUAUCAAGAAAAUCCAUAGCUGAAAUUGCAGGGUUUCAGAACAACCUCCAUUUUUUCUUUGCCUUUUCUGCAUUAUUAAGUUCUUUUGUUAUUUGUUAUUUAUACAAGCGAGUAUGAUAUUAGUGAGACACAAUAUGUGACUAUUUUAUGAGACAAAAUAGCUUAUUUUUGUCAUUUUAAGAGAGUUUUUAAAACAUAAGUGACUAUUUUAUGAUUUUGUGAGGAUGGUAUUAGCUUCCCUAAUCUCGAACCUGGAAAUUAUCCUAUUAAUUGUUGUACAUGGCAACUAGCCUUAGGUUCUGAAAGAUCCCUUAUUUGGAGUCUUAAGUUUCUCAUGGCCAAGACUAAGAGUGUUUGGGAAAUUUACAAUGUUAAUGUCUCAGGUCAGGCCUAACGGAAUAGAGUAUUGGAAACUUAUAUAGGUGAUUGUGAAAUGUCAUUCAACUAUUGCAUAGCAUCUUACUUUCAACACAUUUGCACUUGAACCCAUUCUAGUGGCUACUGGCUUGAUUGAAACAUUUCAAAGCAAUAUAUCUAAUGCCUAUAUAUGAAUUAUAUAUUGUAGGGCAAAGAUGUAAGUGCUGAAAACAUGCAUCAAGGCUUCACUCAUGUGUUUGAACAGUGGCGGAUCCAAGACCCUAAAUCAGUGGGUGCAAAUUAUAAAAAAUAAAAUCAGUGGGUUCAAUUAUAUAAAUAUAAAUAAAAUAAAAUAUAAAAAUAUAAGAUUUUAUUUACAAAUUUAGUGAAUUUUAAAAAAUGAGGGGAUGUAAGUGCACACCCUCAUACCAAUGUGGGUCCGUCACUGUGGUUGAAUCAACAUUUGAGAGUACAGAGGGCCUUGCAGAGUAUGUAGCUCAUCCUGCCCAUGUUGAAUAUGCAAAUUUUCUCCUUCCCUGCAUGGAGAAAAUAGUUGUGAUUGACUACAAGCCUACCAUCGUUAACCUUUGAUUGGAGAAGUAAUGCCUCGUUCACUGCUAGUGCUCUGAUAAAACAUUUUGUUUCCUCUCAAUUUUUGUAUGCACUAUAGUGCUCCCUCUUAUCAUACAUUGUUACCCUGUUAUCUUGAUCUUGACAAUCCUGAAAAACUUGUUGAUAGGACUAUGCACUAUUUAAUCACCAGUUAC
rnacentral:lncRNA from 1 species